UUCCAACUGUAUCAAUUGCACAGCCUCUAUGAGAUGAUAUAAUGGUGAAACAACAAAAUGUGUUUUCGUUUUUGGUUUUUUUAUGGGCAAAGACUGGUCUUCUUGAGAUUUAUUUUUAAAAGUUGUUAUAUAGUCUGCUCAGAUUUUGUUGUGGGACAUGGGGAACUAUGGUCUGCUCAGAUGUUGUCUUUAGUUAUUAGAAAGAAUGGGGUCGCUUGCAAAUGGAUGGAUGGUGAUGACUCUUGUUAAUCUUGGUUUAUCUAUUUAUAUUUGUUUAGAUUGUUAAAUGCUGGUUAAUUCAGCAUAGGCUUUUGAGAACUUAUAUUUGCCAUGGUUGAUGAAUAUUGCCAAUUAUACAUUCGCCUUGUGUU